rnacentral:lncRNA from 1 species
CUGUAUUGACCCUCCUUGUAAUUUUCUUUUGCCUUCCUGCAAAAGAAAAGUAUCACAUACAUGUACUGCUUCUCGAAGUGCUCAUAGUUAAAGGAUACAGAGAGAGUGGGAGGGGGUGGGUAUGAUGUAAAAAUCCACUGGUUUGUUGUUUGGGUUUCACGUGGAAAGCCUACCGAAAGUGGGCUCCAAGGGAAGAAAAAUAAUGCACAGUUUCGAAGUUGAACCGGCACAGUUGGGACCCAAGCUUGGGCUUCUGUGUUGAGAGUUUCGAGGCGCAGGUUGAAAAACUACAAAAUAAAAAAACAAAAAAACAAAAAAAAAA